UGGUGAAAUCAGAGAGGGGACGGUCUUCCUCCUGCUGGUCUGAGAGGUGGAAACAGCAGCAGCUUGGAUAUGGUGAGUCUCUGACUGAGUCCUGUUCCUGACAGACUGACGGACCAAUCACAACAGGUGACAACAGGUGGAGGUGACUCUCAGUACUGCGGUCUGAACUGCUCUGAGACCAGCUCCACUCUCAGACUCAGGACCUGGACCUCAGAGAUCUUCUUCCACUGACUCUGAACUGAAAUGACCUCCACAGGUUUGUUUUGUGGAGAACAAGAAAAAUGAAUGUCUCUUGAUAACUGAGGAUAAUAAUGUAUCUCUAAUCAAUAUUUGAAGUGAUUGAUCUCAUCAGUGUUAAAGUUUCCCUCCUUCAAACAGUCUCUAACAUCAGGGCAGAGAUCCUCAGAAUCCCAGCUGUCCACUGAUGAAAUAUCACAGUCAGGAGUUCUGGUUUUUCUGAAGCGUGCUCUUUGAUUUUCUGCUCUUUUCUUUUGAAAUCUAAAUGUUUGUAUUUCCUGUUUGGUCUUUUGUGUUUUCUUGUGAAGCUCUUUGUGACCUCUGCUCUAAAGGUGCUGUAUGAAUCAACUUUACUGACUCCCUGAACGAGGCACAGAAACCAAACAUCAUGUGUUUGGAAAGUCUGAACAGAAACACAUGGACACUUCAAAACAUCAUGAGAUAUUAAUGAAGUUUAUUAUUGAAGAACAUUCAACUCCAACUAAUUAUUAAAACAACAUUUCUGUCAAAACACCAAGAGCAGGACGUGAACGUCCUCAGUGAGCAUCAGGUCCCUGAAUGCACCAGAGUCAGAGGAAAAACUGGAUCAUUCAGAAUCUGCAUCAAGUGGUUUAGUCUGAGACUCAGCUGGUUUAAAAACAGCAGCACCACCUGCUGACCAAACCAGGAAACUACAAUCUGAGGGUCUGUCUUUAUAUGAGUCCAUCACAAGACUGUGAUCAGCUUCAGGUUACAAACUGAGACCCUCUGAGACCCUCUGAGGUGUCUGAUGGGACUCUGAGACCCUCUGAGGUGUCUGAUGGGACUCUGAGACCCAUCUGGGGUGUUUGAUGGGACUCUAAGACCCUCUGAGGUGUUUGAUGGGACUCUAAGACUCUCUGAAGUGUCUGAUGGGACUCUGAGACCCUCUGAAGUGUUUGAUGGGACUCUAAGACUCUCUGAGGUGUUUGAUGGGACUCUGAGACCCUCUGAGGUGUUUGACGGGACUCUGAGACCCUCUGAUGUGUCUCUGAGACCCUCUGAGGUGUCUGAUGGGACUCUGAGACCCUCUGAUGUGUCUGAUGGGACUCUGAGACCCUCUGAGGUGUCUGAUGGGACUCUGAGACCCUCUGAGGUGUCUGAUGGGACUCUGAGACCAUCUGAAGUGUUUGACGGGACUCUGAGACCCUCUGAGGUGUUUGACGGGACUCUGAGACCCUCUGAGAUGAUUGAUGGACUCUGAGACCCUCUGAGGUGUCUGAUGGGACUCUGAGACCCUCUGAGGUGUUUGAUAGGACUCUGAGACCCUCUGAGGUGUCUGAUGGGACUCUGAGACCCUCUGAGGUGUCUGAUGGGACUCUGAGACCGUUUGAGGUGUCUGAUGGGACUCUGAGACCCUCUGAGGUGUCUGAUGGGACUCUGAGACCGUUUGAGGUGUCUGAUGGGACUCUGAGGCCCUCUGAUGUGUCUGAUGGGACUCUGAGACCCUCUGAGGUGUCUGAUGGGACUCGUCUCAUGGUUUUCUGUAAGAGCAACAAAAAUAAAACCCGUCAAAAGCA